UUCCGGUUGAUCCCGCCGGACCCCACUGCUAUCGAGAUGGGACUAAGGUAUGCUAGUCGAACGACCAGAACUAUGUCUGGGAGUGGCACACUGCUCAGUAACACGUAGCUAACCUACCCUUAGGACGUGGAUACCCCCGAGAAAUUGGGGUUAAUCCGCGAUAGAUGUAAUGUCCUGGAAUGGUAUUACGCCUAAAGGUGUAUCAUACAUGUUUGAUAUACGCCUAAGGAUGGGGCUGCGGCCGAUCAGGCUGUUGGUGAGGUAAUGGCUCACCAAACCUUUGACCGGUACGGGCCAUGAGAGUGGUAGCCCGGAGAUGGACACUGAGACAAGGGUCCAGGCCCUAAGGGGCGCAGCAACCGCGAAACCUCCACAAUGCACUCACGUGCGAUGGGGCUAUCUCGAGUGCCACCUGAUGAAGGUGGCUUUUCCUAGGUCUUCAAAGCCUUGGGAAUAAGAGGGGGGCAAGACUGGUGUCAGCCGCCGCGGUAACACCAGCCCCUCGAGUGGUGGGGAUGAUUAUUUGGCCUAAAGCGUCCGUAGCCGGCCGAGCAAGUCUUCCGUUAAAUCCAGCGUCUUAAGCGUUGGACUGCGGGAGAUACUACACGGCUAGAGAGUGGGAGAGGUCAGCGGUAUUCUGGGGGUAGGGGCGAAAUCCUUUGAUCCCCGGAGGACCACCAGUGGCGAAGGCUGCUGACUAGAACACGUCUGACGGUCAGGGACGAAAGCUGGGGUAGCGAACCGGAUUAGAUACCCGGGUAGUCCCAGCCGUAAACGAUGCAUGCUAGGUGUUGGGGUUGGGCCACGAGCCACCCCAGUGCCG
rnacentral:rRNA from 1 species